AAAAUUAGAAUUUUCAAUGUAAAUAUAUGUAUAAAUUUGGCUUUGGUUGCCAUGGGGACAGGGGCCUCCGGCAGCCAUUAUCAUUUUUUUUUAGAAUCUGUUAAUACAUUAUAAUCAUGGGAUAGUUAUCGUUUAGUUUAUAGAAUGAAUACUCUUAGAUAGAAGUAGCUUUAUUCAGAUUUGUGAUUUCUUUUUUGAUAUUUUUUGUUUUUCCUAUUUUUGGUAGUUUCGACUCUGUUUUUUUUUUUUUUUUUUUUUUUUUUUUUUUAGAAUUUUUUAUCACUGGCUUGGAUGGGGGAUAUUGUUACAAGGAAGGCUUUGGGUAACAAUAUUGUGGCGAAUGUAACCCCAUCU
rnacentral:lncRNA from 1 species